GGAAAUGUAUCUCAGUUGGUAGAGUACUUGCUUUGCAGGCACCAGGCUCUGGGUUCAAUACCCAGCACCACCC
rnacentral:tRNA from 1 species